CUACCUUCUGCUUUUAUAUUUUUUCUCAACCUCUGAAAUAUGAACUUUUAUUGGCUUUUGAAUCUAGUUUCUCUCUUGCUCUAUUUGCAUAUUUUCCUUAUGAAAUAUGUCUUCAAGAGAGUAAGGGAGAUCUAGAUUCAUAACCCAGCAAAAGUCAUCAACUUGACUCUAGUCUCUUCCUAAUGUUUUUGUAGGGUUAAGAGAAGGUGUUGCAGACACUUUAGAUGUUUGAAACUUUUAAGUUUCAAACUCAAUGAAUGCCAUCCUUUUCACGUCUAAUCUCUGAAAUAUGAACUUUUAUUGGCUUAUGAAUCUAGUUUCUCUCUUGCUCCAUUUUUCAUUUUUUCCUUAUGAAAAUAUGGCUUCAAGAGAGCAAGGGAGACCUAGAUUCAUAACCCAGCAAAAGUCAUCAACUUGACUCUAAUCUCUUCCUAAUAUUUGUGUAGGGUUAAGAGAAGGUGUUGCAGAUACUUUAGAUGUUUGAAACUUUUAAGUUUCAAACUCAAUGAAUGCCAUCCUUUUCACGUCUAAGCUAAGAUGAGGAUUCAUAACAGUAUUUUUUUUUUCUUUGAAGCAUUGUUGUUAGUAUUUGAAUUAUGGGUAAGUUGUAGAUUUUGCAUAUAUACAUUAAUUUGGUCAAUUUUAAUUCAAACAGUAGUAGUUAAAUUUAUUAGUUUAAAUUCUAUUAUUAAUUUAGCACUAUGAGCAAGUUGUAGAUUUAGUCACUUUUGUCUAAGUCGAUCAUUUUUAGUCCUUAUAAUUUUUAAAUUUAAAAAUUUUAUUAUUGACUUAAAUAGUAGUGCUAAAUCUACUUACUAAAAUUACGUGACUUUUUUUCUAAGUAUUAUGUAGAAUUAGCAAGUUAACAUGAAUUAAACAUAAGAUAAUAUGUUGGCCACAUAAAAUUUUAGAAAUAACAUAAUUUAACUUGAUAAUUAAUUUAAUAGUUAUCAUUUAGCUAUUAUUAAAUUUUCAAAUUUUAUAAAAAUAUCAAAACUGAAGUUGACCAAAAUAGAGCACAUAAAUUAAAUCUACAAUUUACGCGAAACUAAUGAUAAAAUUUAAUCUUUCUUUUUCAGGUAAGAAUCUAAUAUAAAUUUGUGUAUUUUUAUGAAAUAUUUCUUCAACCUUGCAACUUGGUUCUCUUAUCUAAUGUUCGUAGAGCAUGUUUGGUUGGCAUGAAUGGUAAGUUCUCUUAUCUAAUGUUGUUAGAGAAUGUUUGGUUGGCAUGAAUAAUCAGACCAUUUCAGGCUGAUUCAAUGUUUGGCUGACCGAAUCACUCAUUUCAUGAAAUCACUAUUCAUCUCUUAUCACAACUUCUCCAGUAAAAGUCAUAUCAUCUAUCGUAACAAAAUAAGAACAGAUGGAGAAAAAGAGAUUUUAAGAAGAAAUACAAAAUGGGGUUUUGGGGCUUGUAACUUGGAGAGGGGAGAACAAAGGAAAAACGUGGUUGUUGGAGCGGCGGAAGAUGACGAAAUCAGCCUUGAAAGUUUUGAUUUAGAGAAACCCGAUAAAAAGAAAUGAAAAAAAAGAGGUAGAAAUUAAUCAAAUCUAAAAUUUUGAGAAGGAAAGGACAUCAGCUAGCAGCGGCAUACCACGGCCAGUAUGGUGUCGGACAAUGGCUACCGGUUGGAUUCUGAAAAAGAUGAUAAAUGUUCAUAUUUUCUUCUAGAGAGAGAGAGAAUUGAGAGAGAAAGAACAGGUGAAAAUGGAAUAAAAUAAAAAAAAUAUUACAACAAAUCUAAUAACUAAUCCUCCGCAUUUUAUAAACCUAUGAAGGGUAGAUACUAACUAAAUAUUCUAUAAUUAAAUUAUAUUAAUAACUAUUUAAUUUAUUUAAAAUUUCAUAUUGUAUUAGUAAUGUAAGUAAAAUAUAUAUAUUUAAGGGUAAAAUUGUUAUUUGUGAUCUAUUCCUUGUAAAUUCCUCAUCAUUAUUCUAUCAAAUCAAACAAUAUUAUACUGUUGUGCUGUUAUCUCUUUAUUCUAUUCCCAC
rnacentral:lncRNA from 1 species